AAACGAAAAGCGAUAUAUUGCACUAAGUUUCGGCCUUAGCCUUGAGAAAUAAUUCUCUUCGUUUGC
rnacentral:tRNA from 1 species